rnacentral:tRNA from 1 species
GUCGCUAUAGUUUAAUGGUAAAACUCCUGGCUCAUAACCGGGUGCUUGCAGGUUCAACCCCUGCUGGCGGCA